AACGAACGCUGGCGGCAUGCCUAACACAUGCAAGUCGAACGAAGCCUUCGGGCUUAGUGGCGCACGGGUGCGUAACGCGUGGGAAUCUGCCCUUGGGUUCGGAAUAACAGUUAGAAAUGACUGCUAAUACCGUAUGAUGUCUUCGGACCAAAGAUUUAUCGCCCAAGGAUGAGCCCGCGUAGGAUUAGGUAGUUGGUGGGGUAAUGGCCCACCAAGCCGACGAUCCUUAGCUGGUCCGAGAGGAUGAUCAGCCACACUGGGACUAAGACACGGCCCAGACUCCUACGGGAGGCAGCAGUGGGGAAUAUUGGACAAUGGGCGAAAGCCUGAUCCAGCAAUGCCGCGUGAGUGAUGAAGGCCUUAGGGUUGUAAAGCUCUUUUACCAGGGAUGAUAAUGACAGUACCUGAGAAUAAGCUCCGGCUAACUCCGUGCCAGCAGCCGCCGUAACAC
rnacentral:rRNA from 1 species